UACGUAGGCAGCAAGCGUUGUUCGGAGUUACUGGGCGUAAAGGGUGCGUAGGCGGCUUUUUAAGUUUGGUGUGAAAUCUCCUGGCUUAACCGGGAGGGUGCGCCGAAUACUGAGAAGCUAGAGUACGGGAGAGGAAAGUGGAAUUCCUGGUGUAGCGGUGAAAUGCGUAGAUAUCAGGAGGAACACCGGUGGCGAAGGCGGCAUCCUGGACCAACACUGACGCUGAGGAGCGAAAGCCAGGGGAGCAAACGGG
rnacentral:rRNA from 1 species